GACGAACGCUGGCGGCGUGCCUAAUACAUGCAAGUAGAACGCUGAAGGAGGAGCUUGCUUCUCCGGAUGAGUUGCGAACGGGUGAGUAACGCGUAGGUAACCUGCCUGGUAGCGGGGGAUAACUAUUGGAAACGGUAGCUAAUACCGCAUAAGAGUAGAUGUUGCAUGACAUUUGCUUAAAAGGUGCAAUUGCAUCACUACCAGAUGGACCUGCGUUGUAUUAGCUAGUUGGUGGGGUAACGGCUCACCAAGGCGACGAUACAUAGCCGACCUGAGAGGGUGAUCGGCCACACUGGGACUGAGACACGGCCCAGACUCCUACGGGAGGCAGCAGUAGGGAAUCUUCGGCAAUGGACGGAAGUCUGACCGAGCAACGCCGCGUGAGUGAAGAAGGUUUUUCGGAUCGUAAAAGCUCUGUUGUAAAGAGAAAGAAACGAAGUGUG
rnacentral:rRNA from 1 species